AGUAAAUCAACUGUGAUCAGAUUGGUUAAAAAAAUAGAGGCUGCGUGUGAUUUCAGUUCCGGUUCAAUGCAUUUGUAAUGAGGGGGCGCACUUCUGUGCAGUGUGCACAAGUCGUCGUUGCCAGCAGGCUGCACCCGACAGCCAAGGGAUUAUGUGGCAUAGCAAGUCUCUGAAGCAGUGUCUCACACUCGAGUCCUGACCGAGGGCCUUGAAACUGGCAUGCCUGUUCAAAACAUCUCCAGGACAACAAGAAGAUGAAGGAGAAUGCGUGCAGUGGGCUGAAUGGAGAAUUCGUGAAUCAAAGGCAACACCAUCAAAUGCAUUAUGAAAUUAAGCACUAUCAGGUUGUCAAGGCUGUAGCUCAGCGGGUACAUGGUCCUGGAUACCAGAUUUUUUUUUUUUGAAAACUAUUUAUAUAUGGAAUCUGAAUGCACUCCAGGAUAUGCUGCAGUUCUUUGUGCCACAAGAGGCCAAGAAGCUCUACUACAAGACGUUGCGGCAGAAGAUGAAGAUUAUUACAAAUUAUCCAAGUCUACCAACAAUGUGUAUGAUGUAUGACUACCUGAAAGCAUUUGUCUAUGACCUCACCCAGCUGCUGAGAGAACCUUCAGAGGUAAACCUCUAAAGGUGUGCUCCUUUAUAAGCGAUGCUCCAGCAUGUGAUUUUCUUCAAAACAGUGUGCUAUCCUCUGGUUCAGUCUUUAUCAUCUACAGUUGAUUUAGGUACAAAAAAAGCCCAUUUCACAUAUCCCAUUGAUUAAAUGCACCUCUGCUGUUUGGGUGUAAAUUUUGCCAUCACUAUUUCUUGUUACGGAGAUGAGGACAACUACUUGCCUCUUUCAUGCAUCUCCUUUGUCCACAUCUAUGUUUGGGGAUUGUAAUUUGAAGCCAUUCCUCAAGUGUUUGCUAUGCCUCAUUGUUUAUUAUACUGCAUACUACAUUGGCACACUUGGG
ensembl:lncRNA